GACGAACGCUGGCGGCGUGCCUAAUACAUGCAAGUAGAACGCUGAAGAGAGGAGCUUGCUCUUCUUGGAUGAGUUGCGAACGGGUGAGUAACGCGUAGGUAACCUGCCUUGUAGCGGGGGAUAACUAUUGGAAACGAUAGCUAAUACCGCAUAACAAUGGAUGACACAUGUCAUUUAUUUGAAAGGGGCAAUUGCUCCACUACAAGAUGGACCUGCGUUGUAUUAGCUAGUAUGUGAGGUAAUGGCUCACCUAGGCGACGAUACAUAGCCGACCUGAGAGGAUGAUCGGCCACACUGGGACUGCGACACGGCCCAGACUCCUACGGGAGGCAGCAGUAGGGAAUCUGCGGCAAGGGGGGCAACCCUGACCGAGCAACGCCGCGUGAGUGAAGAAGGUCUUCGGAUCGUAAAGCUCGGUUGUAAGUCAAGAACGGGUGUGAGAGUGGAAAGUUCACACUGUGACGGUAGCUUACCAGAAAGAGACGGCUAACUACGUG
rnacentral:rRNA from 1 species